CAAUUCUCUUCUGCUGGAUCAGAAAAAACAGGACUUCCAGCCAUUCUUCAAGUGAAACAAUGGACAACUUUGAUUUGUAUAACAGCAUCUCAGCUCAACCAGCAGAGCUGGAACUUAACUCCGGUGAGAUCAAGAACAAAACAGAGACCGUCUAUUCCACUGUUCAGCCAUUUCAACCCCUAGAACAGGACGAUGCCCCCUAUGCUGUUGUGGACUUCAGAAAAAAAUCAACUCCUGAGCUCAAUGACCAGGCUGAGGAUAUUGAAACACUGUGAAAUACAAGCCAAAGAUGACAAAAUACAACAACACACCGGCCUGUGCAGGACCUGAAAAUUGUUCUGUUCAUGAUGUCAGCAUUGCAUUAACGUUUAUUGAUGAGUAUGAACAAAUUGUGGGCUCUCUUCACAGCAUUAAGGGAUACUCAUAUAGGAACUGAAACUAGGACGUUUGAAAGGCUUAGCGGCUCUUGAUCUUAAGACACUCACUCUCAGGCUGUCUCACACCAAAUAAGAGGAAGCCUCAAACCAGUGCUUUCUAUUUACUGUGUAUUCUCUUUCACACAUUACAAAGUCUGAACAUCGGCAUCAGGCUUUGCUUCACACGUCAGCACAACCAGAGAUCAAAAUUACAAAGAUCACAAAGAAAAAUAGCACAGCUCAGGUUCCUAGAAAGUCAAAAUUUCUUUCAUGUUUGUUAGAACUGGUCUUAUUAGAAUUAACUGUGUAAAAGGCCAAUAAAUCCAAAUUAUCUCAGAAGAUAUGCACACCCCUUUAGCUAUCCAGCCAGUUAGGUAUGUGCCAUUUUAGGGGUUAUGGCUUUUAUUCACAAACUGGGAGUUUUAUUGAAGUUUUUAUAAUUGCCAUCUAUAUCUUUUUUAUUCAAAACUGCUGACUAGCAGUAAUGUGAGAAAUUAUAUCAACACCAGUUCAGAGCUGGUUUGCCAGACUACACUAUUAGCAUUGUAGACAUUUACAGCAGCAGAGACACUACAAAAGAGAGAAACUGGAUACUCCAAGACUGCAGAAUUGCACAACAGAGAAGAAGGAAGUGGAAAGAGAACUUCCAGGGAAGAAAGCUUUUUAAAACUUAAUUUGGAACAGUGACAACAAACUUUAUCAAGUUUUAUCAGAUUUCAUUGGCAUACAUCCUGUUUUGGUUUUGUUUGUCCCAGUGACCAUUAGAAGUAAAGUUAAU